rnacentral:ncRNA from 1 species
UAUGUGGCUCUUGAUGGGGACGUGUCCCCGAACAUUCCACAGGGGAAUGCACCUUGCCUCUUGGCAAAAAAUAAACAGUCAAAAAUGUGUGUGGUAGGUUAAUUUUCGAAGCACAUAGAUUUC